CUGAGAAGCGCUCAUCCUCAGGUGGGGUCCAAAAGUCACCUCAUUACACUCGAGGAUACCUUUGUCACUCUCAUCACUUAGGAAAUUGUAAGAGUUUUAGGAGUUCUUUGCAAGAAACAGGAAGAAGGUCGAAUACAUAUUUCUUUUUUUUUUUUCUUUUUUUUCUUUUCGAAUAUAUAUUUCUUAAUAUAAAUCACAAUAACUCAACAGGCAAAGUAUCACUUGGCUGCCCUUUCACGCAGGGCACGUGGGGCUAAGGAAUCAGGGGGCUCCAGGCCCUAAUCAAACUCUGAGUGGGGCCCGACCCCGUCCGGGCAUUUCCCACCCUUGGGGUGGAAUGGGAAUGGAAGCAAGUGGUGCUCGGCACAUCCUCACAUGGGGUCAGUGGCUUCUGGGUAGGAGCCACGGUCAUGGGGCUGGCUGGUGGGGACACUGGAAUUGCUUCCCAGUGCCCACCCCAGCAGGGAGGAAAAUCAAAACCAAUAACUAAGUCACCUACAUAAGAAUCUUCAAGUUGCGAACUUAAAAUGAUGCGAAGGUGUGUUCGCAUAUCCAGUCACGUAAGUUAGGUCACGUGUCUGGCGUACAUUGUCAUGUGCGUGCAUCCUCUCCAAGUGGUGGUGCUUUUGCGUACUGUACCAUACGGUACUGUUGCUGUGCAUCACGAGGAGCUGACUAACAAAGACCUGAUGGAAUUGGAGGCCCAGAGAAAGGACUAAGAGAGACAAGAAGAGGAAGAAGUAACUGAAGAACGGAAGAGAUUCACAGCGCAGGAAAUGGCAAGGGGAUUUUCUGUAUUUGAGGAGGCACUGUUAGUUUUUGAGGCACAGGACCUGAAUAUAGAACAGUACAUGAAGGUUUCAGCAGCUGUUCAGAAUGUAAUCCAGUGCUACCAUGUCACCUAUGAUAAGAAAAAAAGAGCUACUACCCAGACAUCACUGGAUCUUUUUUUCAAGAUGGUAGAUAGAGUUGAACCCAGCAAGGAACCAGAGCCUGUGCCAUCAGCGUCAGGCGUGAGUGAAAGUGCAGCUCGCCCUCCAUCUCCUGUUGCUGACGACCCUUCAGCUCUACCGUCUCCCACCACCUCUCCCUCCUCCAGUCAGUAACUCUUCCUGCCUGUUCCCUCGAUGCCAGCCCCUGCAUGCCAGCUGUUGUGCUGCACUACUGUACUUUUCAAGGGACUGCACUUCGACAGUUUGGGUGACCACGAAGGGACCCAGAGCAGACGUCUCUCCUUGCCUGAACUCCAAGAGGAUAGGCAGCCUUGGUACUAGCGAGGGCCCCUUGUGCCCAUCCACCUCCUUGAUCUAAGGAAACCCUUCUCCUGAAGGUUGCUAUGACUUAUGGCGAUUUGGUAAAUUAUACCUUUGUAAGCAGAACUGAAUCAUUUAUCUUUUCUCUCUACCUGAUCCCUCCAGAGUUUGGAAACUUCUAGUGAGUAUUCUUAUUUUCAUGGCAAUAUAGUUAUUUGGAUAAGUUCAGAAAGAAUAUGUUCUCCUUAUAACAAGACACAAUUGGGAACACUGGUUGUAUUAACCUGGCUUUGAAAUGUCAUAUUGGACAAUAUGCAAUCAGAAUCAGAUAUGACCACACAGCUUUAAAGGACUAAGGUGAACUUCAUGGAGCCUGAAGUCCCUUGGACAAACAGCCUGGUACCUUGUUUACGGGGUUCCUAGCAGCCUUAUCAGGUGAAUAAGGAAGGCCACCUCCUGGCAGGUGCAGGAAUUUCAAGAUAUCUUGGGGGACCUUGAGAAGAGAAGAGUCUACCCCAAUCUACAGGUAUUACAGGCAGAAGCUGAUGGUAACUGUUUGGUGUGAUUUUCAUGGCCUUGAGAGGACUUUUAAAGUUCAGUCUGAGAUUCCUUAUAAAAAGCUCCAGCAGGGACGUCCCUGCUGGCACGGUGGUUAAGAAUCCGCCUGCCAGUGCAGGGGACACGGGUUCGAUCCUUGGUCUGGGAAGAUUCCACAUGCUGCAGAGCAACUAAGCCCGUGGGCCACAACUACUGAGCCCGCGUGCCACACUACGGAAGCCCGCGCGCCUAGAACCUGUUCUCUGCAACAAGAGAAGCCACCGCAAUGAGAAGCCCAUGCACCGCAACGAAGAGUAGCCCCUGCUCGCCACAGCUAGAGAAAGCCUGCGCACAGCAAUGAAGACCCAAGGCAGCCAAAAAUAAAAAAAAUAAAAAAUAAAAAAAAGUUCCAGCAAGGCCAAUUUAGAAGAGCCUAUUGCAUCAAUUACACUUAUGUAAAUAAUCAGGUCAUGUUUAUUGAAACCAGGCUUAUUUUGUAAGCAAAUUAGUCUUACUUCGGCUAUAUUUUGUAGAAACGAGGGUAAUUUUAGAGAGAAAAAAAUUUUGUUUCAGUGGAUAUUAAGUUCUAGUGUUGUUAGUUGUCUUUGAGGUUUUGUAUUUACUGCCUGAGACUCACUGCCUAGAUGGCUCCUUGUUACUGUGUUGCAUUACCAU